rnacentral:tRNA from 1 species
GCCGGGGUGGCGGAACUGGCAGACGCGCUAGAUUCAGGGUCUAGUGACCGCAAGGUCGUGUGGGUUCAAGUCCCGUCCCCGGCA